UACGAAGGGUGCAAACGUUGCUCGGAAUUAUUGGGCGUAAAGCGCGUUCAGGCGGUUUGGCAAGUCGGGCAUGAAAUCUCUCGGCUCAACCGGGAGAGGUUGUCCGAUACUGCUGGACUUGAGGGCAGUAGAGGGUGGUGGAAUUCCGGGUGUAGUGGUGAAAUGCGUAGAUAUUCGGAAGAACACCAGUGGCGAAGGCGACUCACUGGACACAUAUUGACGCUGAGGUGCGAAAGCGUGGGGAGCAAACAGGG
rnacentral:rRNA from 1 species